GAUGAAGAACGCAGCGAAAUGCGAUAAGUAAUGCGAAUUGCAGAAUUCAGUGAGUCAUCGAAUCUUUGAACGCACAUUGCGCCCUGUGGUAUUCCGCAGGGCAUGCCUGUUCGAGCGUCAUUUCAACCCUCAAGCUCUGCUUGGUGUUGGGCCCUGCCCGCUGCGGCCGGCCCUAAAGACAGUGGCGGUGCCGCCUGGCCCUGAGCGUAGUACAUCUCUCGCUCCAGUGCCCGGUGGUAGCCUGCCAGAACCUCAACUCUCGUGGUUGACCUCGGAUCAGGUAGGGAUACCCGCUGAACUUAAGCAUAUCAAUAAGCGGAGGA
rnacentral:misc_RNA from 1 species